GUGCUCCCUUCGGCAGCUCAUAUAAUAAAAUUAGAAUGCUACAGAGAUUAGUGUGAACCCUGCACAAGGAUAGGAUGCAGUUUUGUGAAGCAUUCCAUAUUUUU
ensembl:snRNA U6 U6 spliceosomal RNA